UGGGGCAUAUUGGACAAUGGAGGGAACUCUGAUCCAGCAAUUCUGUGUGUGUGAAGAAGGUUUUAGGACUGUAAAACACUUUUAGUAGGGAAGAAAAAAAUGACGGUACCUACAGAAGAAGCAACGGCUAAAUACGUGCCAGCAGCCGCGGUAAUACGUAUGUUGCGAGCGUUAUCCGGAAUUAUUGGGCUUAAAGGGCAUCUAGGCGGUAAGACAAGUUGAAGGUGAAAACCUGUGGCUCAACCAUAGGCUUGCCUACAAAACUGUUGAACUAGAGUACUGGAAAGGUGGGUGGAACUACACGAGUAGAGGUGAAAUUCGUAGAUAUGUGUAGGAAUGCCGAUGAUGAAGAUAACACACUGGACAGAAACUGACGCUGAAGUGCGAAAGCUAGGGGAGCAAACAGG
rnacentral:rRNA from 1 species